rnacentral:rRNA from 1 species
CUCUUCGGUUAAUACCCGGAGACGAUGACACUAGCUGCAGAAUAAGCACCGGCUAACUCUGUGCCAGCAGCCGCGGUAAUACAGAGGGUGCAAGCGUUAAUCGGAAUUACUGGGCGUAAAGCGAGCGUAGGUGGCUUGAUAAGUCAGAUGUGAAAUCCCCGGGCUUAACCUGGGAACUGCAUCUGAAACUGUUAGGCUAGAGUAGGUGAGAGGGAAGUAGAAUUUCAGGUGUAGCGGUGAAAUGCGUAGAGAUCUGAAGGAAUACCGAUGGCGAAGGCAGCUUCCUGGCAUCAUACUGACACUGAGGCUCGAAAGCGUGGGUAGCAAACAGGAUUAGAUACCCUGGUAGUCCACGCCGUAAACGAUGUC